UCCGAAUCGAUAGCUAGUGAAUUAGGGCUUUCUCUCAAUUGUUGAAGCUGCCUCUUCUUCUUCACUGUGGCUCGGCGUCGCCACCAUCUGAAGACCCCUAUUCAUGGCUUUCGGGAAAUUCUCUUUGUGCAUCUCUAUCAUCCCCGCUUACAUUUCCAGAUUCUGUAUCGAAAUCUCUCAUUCAUUCAACUUUAUCUCUUAUUGUUGCUUAGUUUUAACCAGUUUGACUUGGGAUUUUGAUUAUGUAGUUUUUCUGUAGAUGAGCUCAUUGUGCACUCUAGAUGUUCGAUAAAAUGUCUAGGUGAGACUCAAACUGGAAAAAUUGCAUUAAGCCGGUCUGUUUUUUUAUUGGUGUUGUAGGGUAACGAUAUGUAGUAGGAGGUAAGAACAAGAAGAAAAAAAGACUGCUCCUGAGUCCGAUAAUCUCUAUCUCAAGCUUCUCGUAAAAAAAAAAAACAAAACCAGGAAAGUCGCUAACUGAGAAACAAGCAAAGGAACUGCGAGAGAUGAAAGGAGGCAUCAACAUCUUGCAGAAUCUUAACAAUAGAGAGAGACAAAUCAUGGAUAUUGAAGCAUCCUUUGAGGCAUGCAAGUCUCAACCAAUUCAUUCCACCAAUAAAAACGUGCAGCCGGUUGAAGUUUUACCACUGUUGGCAUAUUUUGAUAGCUUGUAUAAGGGUCUUGCUCCACGUUGGCUGUGAAGUUGAUGAUCUUCAGGUUUGGCUACACAUUGUCUAUUUGAAUUUUAGUGCUUUGUUUGGUUAAUUUCUCCGUUUGAUAUUAUGGAUUUUUUGUGGAUGACUUGAUGGUUGGCAAAAUAAAGAACAAGGAAGGAUAAUUCAGGUGCUUUUGAUAUUUCUAACAUCUUAAUUAGUUUUACAUUUUGAUAAAAACAUAGGUUGUCUUUUGUAGUUAUGUAUUCUCUUUGUGAUAUGCAGAGACUAGUUUAUAAGACAAGUGGAAAUAAUGUUAAUACUUUGCUGCUCCAAAUACCUUUGCUUUAAUGUUAUUACAGAUAGCUGAGCAGAAUAUACAAGAACAUGUUGAGGACGAAUGCUCGCGAAAGAGGUAGUCUUUUAAGAAUAUAAAUACCUUGCUCUUUUCUUUUCUUUAUUCUGAUGAUUUUAAAACUGUUGUGUUUUCUAUGGUGUGGUGUGUCUACUUUAGGUAGAACUAUUUGCAACUAAUGAUUUCACCAUGUUUUGUGAUCUCGUUAUUUGGUUUAUAUACAUAGAUUAGUUUAGCAUC